CCUACGGGAGGCAGCAGUGAGGAAUAUUGGUCAAUGGGCGCGAGCCUGAACCAGCCAAGUCGCGUGAGGGAGGACGGCCCUACGGGUUGUAAACCUCUUUUGCCGGGGAGCAACGGGCGCCACGUGUGGCGUCACUGAGAGUACCCGGAGGAAAAGCAUCGGCAAACUCCGUGCCAGCAGCCGCGGUAAUACGGGGGAUGCGAGCGUUAUCCGGAUUUAUUGGGUUAAAGGGGUGCGUAGGCGGAUCGUUAAGUCAGUGGUCAAAUUGAGGGGCUCAACCCCUUCCCGCCAGUGAGACUGGCGUUCUUGAGUGGAAGAGAAGUAGGCGGAAUGCGUGGUGUAGCGGUGAAAUGCAUAGAUAUCACGCAGAACCCCGAUUGCGAAGGCAGCAUGCCGGCUUCCGACUGACGCUGAAGCACGAAAGCGUGGGGAUCGAACAGGAUUAGAUACCCGAGUAGUC
rnacentral:rRNA from 1 species